GGAGUCUGCAACCCGACUCCACGAAGCUGGAUUCGCUAGUAAUCGCGCAUCAGCCACGGCGCGGUGAAUACGUUCCCGGGUCUUGUACACACCGCCCGUCACACCAUGGGAGUCGGUAACACCCGAAGUCAGUAGUCUAACCGCAAGGAGGACGCUGCCGAAGGUGGGAUUGACGACUGGGGUGAAGUCGUAACAAGGUACC
rnacentral:rRNA from 1 species